GAUGAACGCUGGCGGCGUGCCUAAUACAUGCAAGUCGAGCGAACAGAUAAGGAGCUUGCUCCUUUGACGUUAGCGGCGGACGGGUGAGUAACACGUGGGUAACCUACCUAUAAGACUGGGAUAACUUCGGGAAACCGGAGCUAAUACCGGAUAACAUUUGGAACCGCAUGGUUCUAAAGUGAAAGAUGGUUUUGCUAUCACUUAUAGAUGACCCGCGCCGUAUUAGCUAGUUGGUAAGGUAACGGCUUACCAAGGCGACGAUACGUAGCCGACCUGAGAGGGUGAUCGGCCACACUGGAACUGAGACACGGUCCAGACUCCUACGGGAGGCAGCAGUAGGGAAUCUUCCGCAAUGGGCGAAAGCCUGACGGAGCAACGCCGCGUGAGUGAUGAAGGGUUUCGGCUCGUAAAACUCUGUUAUUAGGGAAGAACAAACGUGUAAGUAACUGUGCACGUCUUGACGGUACCUAAUCAGAAAGCCACGGCUAACUACGUG
rnacentral:rRNA from 1 species